rnacentral:rRNA from 1 species
UACGUAGGGUGCAAGCGUUGUCCGGAAUUAUUGGGCGUAAAGAGCUCGUAGGCGGUCUGUCGCGUCGGCUGUGAAAACCCGGGGCUCAACCCCGGGCCUGCAGUCGAUACGGGCAGACUAGAGUGCGGUAGGGGAGACUGGAAUUCCUGGUGUAGCGGUGGAAUGCGCAGAUAUCAGGAGGAACACCGAUGGCGAAGGCAGGUCUCUGGGCCACUACUGACGCUGAGAAGCGAAAGCAUGGGGAGCGAACAGG